GACGAACGCUGGCGGCGUGCCUAAUACAUGCAAGUAGAACGCACAGUUUAUACCGUAGCUUGCUCCACCAUAAACUGUGAGUUGCGAACGGGUGAGUAACGCGUAGGUAACCUGCCUGGUAGCGGGGGAUAACUAUUGGAAACGAUAGCUAAUACCGCAUAAUAUUGAUUAUUGCAUGAUAAUUGAUUGAAAGAUGCUAUUGCAUCACUACCAGAUGGACCUGCGUUGUAUUAGCUAGUAGGUGAGGUAACGGCUCACCUAGGCGACGAUACAUAGCCGACCUGAGAGGGUGAUCGGCCACACUGGGACUGAGACACGGCCCAGACUCCUACGGGAGGCAGCAGUAGGGAAUCUUCGGCAAUGGACGAAAGUCUGACCGAGCAACGCCGCGUGAGUGAAGAAGGGUGUCGGAUCGUAAAGCUCUGUUGUAAGAGAAGAACGGGUGUGAGAGUGGAAAGUUCACACUGUGACGGUAUCUUACCAGAAAGGGACGGCUAACUACGUG
rnacentral:rRNA from 1 species